rnacentral:rRNA from 1 species
ACGCUAGCGAUAGGCUUAACACAUGCAAGUCGAGGGGUAACGUGUUGGAAGCUUGCUUCCGAUGACGACGACCGGCGGAUGGGUGCGUAACGCGUAUGCAACUUGCCUCACAGMGGAGAAUAACCCGGAGAAAUCCGGACUAAUGCUCCAUACACUCUUAAGCACRCMUGUKCSUAAGAGGAAAGAUUUAUCGCUGUGAGAUAGGCAUGCGUCCUAUUAGGUAGUUGGUGAGGUAACGGCUCACCAAGCCGACGAUAGGUAGGGGUGCUGAGAGGCAGAUCCCCCACAUUGGGACUGAGACACGGCCCAAACUCCUACGGGAGGCAGCAGUGAGGAAUAUUGGUCKAAUGGAGGAAACUCUGAACCAGCCAAGUCGCGUGAAGGAAGAAUGUCCUAAGGAUUGUAAACUUCUUUAGCGAGYGAGUAAGGACUUCCACGUGAUGGGAGUUGAAAGAUAGCUCGA